rnacentral:rRNA from 1 species
GACGAACGCUGGCGGCGUGCCUAAUACAUGCAAGUCGAGCGAAUGGAUUAAGAGCUUGCUCUUAUGAAGUUAGCGGCGGACGGGUGAGUAACACGUGGGUAACCUGCCCAUAAGACUGGGAUAACUCCGGGAAACCGGGGCUAAUACCGGAUAACAUUUUGAACCGCAUGGUUCGAAAUUGAAAGGCGGCUUCGGCUGUCACUUAUGGAUGGACCCGCGUCGCAUUAGCUAGUUGGUGAGGUAACGGCUCACCAAGGCAACGAUGCGUAGCCGACCGGGGAGGGGGAUCGGCCACACUGGGACUGAGACACGGCCCAGACUCCUACGGGAGGCAGCAGUAGGGAAUCUUCCGCAAUGGACGAAAGUCUGACGGAGCAACGCCGCGUGAGUGAUGAAGGCUUUCGGGUCGUAAAACUCUGUUGUUAGGGAAGAACAAGUGCUAGUUGAAUAAGCUGACACCUUGACGGUACCUAACCAGAAAGCCACGGCUAACUACGUGCCAGCCGCCGCAGUAA